rnacentral:rRNA from 1 species
AUGAAGAAGAAAAAGAAAAGAAGGAGCAACAAAGGUAGAAACGUAUCCCUCCCAAAUGAUGUUGCUCCUACUACUCAUUGUGAUGAUGAUAAUUGCUAUACUAUUGGUGCUAUCAAUAUUUUUAAUGAUGAGAGUGAUUAUGCUUAUGAUACGAAAGGGCCCAAGCUUGGUGCUAUCAAUAUUUUUAAUGAUGAAAUAUUUGAGAAUAUAUUUUCUGGAAUUAAUGUUUGUCCCAAGCUUGGGGAUGCUAUGUUUAAUGAAGAUGAUAUUUUUAGUCCCCCAAGCUUUGAUGAGAAAAUUUAUUUUGAUGAUAGCAUGCCUCCUAUUUAUGAUGAUUAUAUUGAUGAUCGUGGGUUUGGAAGAGUGUCAACUUUAGAAAGUAGUGAUCCCACUAUUUUGGAGGAUGUUGAAUCUUAUUGUGAUGAACAUGAAAGUGGAUUUGGAAGAGUGUCAACUUUAUUUAGUGAUGAUUCCACUAUUUUGGAUAGGAUCGAAUUGAUUAUGAGAACAAAGUUGCUAUCUAUGAUUGUUAUUGUGAUGAAUUGUAUGAUAUUAAGAAUAAUGAUAACCAUGAAACUUGUCAUCAUGAUUUUGGUUUUCAAUUGGAUUAUGCCUCACAUGAUAAUUAUUUUGUUGAGUUUGCUCCCACUACUAUUGACGAGAAGAAUUUUGCUUAUGUGGAGAGUAGUAAAUUUUCUAUGCUUGUAG